rnacentral:rRNA from 2 species
GGACUACUGGGGUAUCUAAUCCUGUUUGCUCCCCAUGCUUUCGUGCCUCAGUGUCAGUAUCUGUCCAGAAAGUCGCCUUCGCCACUGAUGUUCCUUCCGAUAUCUACGCAUUUCACCGCUACACCGGAAAUUCCACCUUCCUCUACAGUACUCUAGCUCAACAGUAUUAAGCGCAAUCCCCAAGUUAAGCCCGGGACUUUCACACCCAACUUAUUAAACCACCUACGCACCCUUUACGCCCAGUAAUUCCGAUUAACGCUUGCACCCUCUGUAUUACCGCGGCUGCUGGCAC